rnacentral:rRNA from 1 species
UGCCAGCCGCCGCGGUAAUACGGAGGGUCCGAGCGUUAAUCGGAAUUACUGGGCGUAAAGCGCGCGUAGGCGGCUUGGUCAGUCGAAUGUGAAAGCCCCGGGCUCAACCCUGGAACUGCCUUUGAUACUGCUAGUCUUGAGUUCGAGAGAGGUAAGUGGAAUUCCGAGUGUAGAGGUGAAAUUCGUAGAUAUUCGGAGGAACACCAGUGGCGAAGGCGACUUACUGGCUCGAUACUGACGCUGAGACGCGAAAGCGUGGGGAGCAAACAGGAUUAGAUA